GACGUAGGGCGCGAGCGUUGUCCGGAUUUAUUGGGCGUAAAGGGCGCGUAGGCGGCCAGCGCAAGUCAGUUGUGAAAUCUCCGGGCUUAACUCGGAAAGGUCAACUGAUACUGCGCGGCUAGAGUGCAGAAGGGGCAACUGGAAUUCUCGGUGUAGCGGUGAAAUGCGUAGAUAUCGAGAGGAACACCUGCGGCGAAGGCGGGUUGCUGGGCUGACACUGACGCUGAUGCGCGAAAGCCAGGGGAGCGAACGGG
rnacentral:rRNA from 1 species